rnacentral:rRNA from 1 species
UCGAGUGCAUGAAGCUGGAAUCGCUAGUAAUCGCGGAUCAGAAUGCCGCGGUGAAUACGUUCCCGGGUCUUGUACACACCGCCCGUCACACCAUGGGAGUCGGGAAUGCCCGAAGCCGGUGGCCCAAUCGAAAGAAGGGAGCCGUCGAAGGCAGGCCGGAUGACUGGGGUGAAGUCGUAACAAGGUAUC